AUUGAACGCUGGCGGCAGGCCUAACACAUGCAAGUCGAACGGUAACAGGAAGAAGCUUGCUUCUUUGCUGACGAGUGCGGACGGGUGAGUAAUGUCUGGGAAACUGCCUGAUGGAGGGGGAUAACUACUGGAAACGGUAGCUAAUACCGCAUAACGUCGCAAGACCAAAAAGGGGGACCUUCGGGCCUCUUGCCAUCGGAUGUGCCCAGAUGGGAUUAGCUAGUAGGUGGGGUAACGGCUCACCUAGGCGACGAUCCCUAGCUGGUCUGAGAGGAUGACCAGCCACACUGGAACUGAGACACGGUCCAGACUCCUACGGGAGGCAGCAGUGGGGAAUAUUGCACAAUGGGCGCAAGCCUGAUGCAGCCAUGCCGCGUGUAUGAAGAAGGCCUUCGGGUUGUAAAGUACUUUCAGCGGGGAGGAAGGGAGUAAAGUUAAUACCUUUGCUCAUUGACGUUACCCGCAGAAGAAGCACCGGCUAACUCCGUG
rnacentral:rRNA from 1 species